rnacentral:rRNA from 1 species
AGUGAACGCUGGCGGCGUGCUUAACACAUGCAAGUCGAACGGACGAAAUAAGCUUGCUUAUUUCGUUAGUGGCGCACGGGUGAGUAAUGUAUAGCUAACCUGCCCUUUAGUGGGGGACAACAGUUGGAAACGACUGCUAAUACCCCAUACUCCUUCUUAUCAUAAGGUAAGUAGGGAAAGAUUUAUUGCUAAAGGAUGGGGCUUUAUUGUAUCAGCUUGUUGGUGGGGUAAUGGCCUACCAAGGCGAUGACGCAUACCUGGUCUGAGAGGAUGAUCAGGCACACUGGAACUGAGACACGGUCCAGACUCCUACGGGAGGCAGCAGUGGGGAAUAUUGCACAAUGGGGGAAACCCUGAUGCAGCAACGCCGCGUGGAGGAUGACGCAUUUCGGUGUGUAAACUCCUUUUAUAAGGGAAGAUAAUGACGGUACCUUAUGAAUAAGCACCGGCUAACUCUGUGCCAGCAGCCGCCGUAACAC